ensembl:rRNA 5S_rRNA 5S ribosomal RNA
GCCUUCCCUGACCACUCUGUUAAAAAUACUGCCUUCCUUCUGAUCUCGGAAGCCAAGCAGGGUCGGGCCUGGUUAGUACUUGGAUGGGAGACCACCUAGGAAGACCAGGGGCUGUAGGCA